CCCUUAGACGUUCUGGGCCGCACGCGCGCUACACUGACGAAGGCAACGAGCUUUCCUUUACCGAAAGGUACGGGUAAUCUUUUGAAACUUCGUCGUGCUGGGGCUAGAUCCUUGCAAUUUUUGAUCUUAAACGAGGAAUGCCUAGUAAGCGCAAGUCAUCAACUUGCGUUGAUUACGUCCCUGCCCUUUGUACACACCGCCCGUCGCUACUACCGAUUGAAUGGUUUAGUGAGGCCUUCGGAUCCGCGACUCGUUUGUGGAGAAGUUGGACAAACUCAGUCAUUUAGAGGAAGUAAAAGUCGUAACA
rnacentral:rRNA from 1 species